AUGCAAUGGUGUAGACAUCUUCUCAAUAAUUCUUUGUAUCUUUCCCAAGCUUCAUACAAGGAUUCUCCUUCCUGCUGCACAAAGGAUGUAAUUUCUUCUCUUAGCUU